UUAAAUUGCACUUUUUUAGAAUAAGAAUAAGAAUAAGAAUAAGAAUAAGAAUAAGAAUAAGAAUAAGAAUAAGAAUAAGAAUAGGAAUAAGAAUAAGAAUAAGAAUAAGAAUAAGAAUAAGAAUAAGAAUAAGAACAAGAACAAGAAAACCUUUAAUAGUCUGCCAAUGGGCAGUUGGUUGCAUUUUCUAAUUUUAACACACAAUAGAGAGGUAACUGUUGCCGAAACUUUAUUUUGAAGUUGUUAAUGUGACUAGAUGAGUAGGUCCUCAUACUCAUACUGACAAUGCUGUAACUUGCAGGUUAAAAAAUUCUCCUGGAAUACGUGUUCCCAGAGUGGGUGUGUCUGGACUAACCCCAGAGACAGACCAGUAGGACACUGGUGUCGUGCUGCAGUUCACCAUGUUUCAGGGGAGGUCUGGUUCAGCAGAUUCUUCUUCUUUGAACUCUGGCCUCCACGUCUGGUCUCAGUUCAGAGAAGGAAGAGAUGAAGGAAGUCAAUCACCACCUUAGGCUCAUUAAAGCUGAGUCAGCUUCAUCUGCAGUCGCAUGAAGGCGCGUGGCCACUGAUCUGCUCAUCAAUAAAACCCAAACAAGGUUAAAUGUUGGCA
rnacentral:lncRNA from 1 species